CAAAGCUCCUGCCUCCCUCCCAUUUUAAUCUGUGUCAAUUAAAAUGCAUCAGACCAUUUUAGCGCUCCUGAAUGAAUGAAAUGCAAAAUGCUGCUACACUGGACUUUGCUGCUGUGGUCAAAUCUAGCUGCAAACAGUGGCUUAAAAUUGUUUACACCUUCAGCCACUUCAGGAGGCGAUUUGGAGAUCCUCAGCGGAAUACUAAUACUUCCAGAAGUCUUUUAAUUUUAAGCAAGUGAAGGGGCAGAAUUUGAGGCACAGCUAGCUCUGCUUUUAACAAAACACUAAUCUCUCACUUUCAUAACAUCUUUUGAUUUAAAGGGGCUCAAGCUGAGGCCCUCAUCCUUCUGAGAGCAUGGCACAGCCAGAGCCGGGAGCCUUGGCCAGGCUGCUGGGAUCAGGAGGGCCCUGCACAGACCAGUGAGCCCAUCUGCAUGAUCAUCCUGCGGGGUGAGGGCUGAGCUGCCACGGCCCAGGCACCCUGCACGGACUUUCUUCCCGAGGAUGGCCUGUUUGCAAACACUGCCUGGCAGCGCCGUCGCUGCUGGAUGAGGACGCUGGAAAUGGAAGCUGAGCCUCGCUGCACCCUUGGGUGCCCAGCCCUCCUUGCUGUGGGUGCUCCUUCACCGUGCCCCAGGGCUCAGCGCAGCAUCCACCCCGGGUGCCCCCACCAUCAUCCCCAUGGCCCUCCUGCUGCCCCAGCCCUGCCAGCCACCGCCGCCCUUCUAUGGAGAACCAGACCUGAAGAGAGCUCAAAUUAAAUGCUUUGGUGGAGCUGCGUCCCCGUGGGUGCCACCAGAGCCUGUGCUGGGCUGGUCCAGCUGGGCAGAGCAAGAGGCGCUUUGGGCACUCCCUCUCUCAUUCCAGCAUGAGCGGAACUCCACCCGAGCUGUGAAACCCAACCUGAGCUGUGGAACCCCUCCUGAGCUGUGGAACCCAACCUGAGCUGUGGAGCCUCACCUGAGCUGUGGAACCCUGAGCUGUGGAGCCCCACCUGAGCUGUGGAACCCUGAGCUGUGGAGCCCCACCUGAGCUGUGGAACCUUGAGCUGUGGAACC
rnacentral:lncRNA from 1 species